AGGAGAGGGAGAGGGCGAGAUGGAGGGAGAGGUAGAGGUAACGGGAGAGGGGAGGGAGAGGGCGAGAUGGAGGGAGAGGUAGAGGUAACGGGAGAGGGGAGGGAGAGGGCGAGAUGGAGGGAGAGGUAGAGGUAACGGGAGAGGGGAGGGAGAGGGCGAGAUGGAGGGAGAGGUAGAGGUAACGGGAGAGGGAGAGGGCGAGAUGGAGGGAGAGGUAGAGGUAACGGGAGAGGGGAGGGAGAGGGCGAGAUGGAGGGAGAGGUAGAGGUAACGGGAGAGGGGAGGGAGAGGGCGAGAUGGAGGGAGAG
ensembl:lncRNA